rnacentral:snRNA from 1 species
UUGGUCAUCGCGCUUGGUU